rnacentral:rRNA from 1 species
UACGAAGGGUGCAAACGUUGCUCGGAAUCAUUGGGCGUAAAGCGCACGUAGGCGGCUUGCCAAGUCGGACGUGAAAUCCCUCAGCUCAACUGAGGACGUGCAUCCGAAACUGGCGAGCUUGAGUACUGAAGAGGAUCGCGGAAUUCCCGGUGUAGAGGUGAAAUGCGUAGAUAUCGGGAGGAACACCAGUGGCGAAGGCGGCUUCCUGGCCUGUUCUUGACGCUGAGGCGCGAAAGCUAGGGGAGCAAACGGG